rnacentral:rRNA from 1 species
UACGUAGGGUGCAAGCGUUAAUCGGAAUUACUGGGCGUAAAGCGUGCGCAGGCGGUCUCUUAAGACAGGUGUGAAAUCCCCCGGGCUUAACCUGGGAACUGCGCUUGUAACUGAGAGGCUUGAGUGUGCCAGAGGGGGGGUGGAAUUCCACGUGUAGCAGUGAAAUGCGUAGAGAUGUGGAGGAACACCGAUGGCGAAGGC